CGCGCAGGCGGCGAUUUAAGCAGGAUGUGAAAGGCUACGGCUCAACCGUAGACAUGCACCCCUGAACUGGGUCACUUGAGUAUUGGAGAGGCAGGCAGAAUUCCUGGUGUAGCGGUGAAAUGCGUAGAUAUCAGGAGGAAUACCGGAGGCGAAGGCGGCCUGCUGGACAAAUACUGACGCUGAGGCGCGAAGCGUGGGAGCAAACA
rnacentral:rRNA from 1 species